UGGCACUUUCAGUGUCCGAGUUGUAAUUUGAAGAAGGUAACUUUGGAGUUGGCCCUUGUCUAUGUUCCUUGGAACAGGACGUCACAGAGGGUGAGAAUCCCGUGCGAUGAGGUGUCCAAUUCUAUGUAAAGUGCUUUCGAAGAGUCGAGUUGUUUGGGAAUGCAGCUCUAAGUGGGUGGUAAAUUCCAUCUAAAGCUAAAUAUUGGCGAGAGACCGAUAGCGAACAAGUACAGUGAUGGAAAGAUGAAAAGAACUUUGAAAAGAGAGUGAAAAAGUACGUGAAAUUGUUGAAAGGGAAGGGCUUGAGAUCAGACUCGGUAUUUUGCAAGCCUAUCCUUCGUGGAGAGGUUUAUUAGCAGCUUACCGGGCCAGCAUCGGUUUGGAUGGUAGGAUAAUGGCAUUGGAAUGUGGCUCCUCGGAGUGUUAUAGCCUUUGUUGAUACUGCCUAUCUAGACCGAGGACUGCGUCUUUGACUAGGAUGCUGGCGUAAUGAUCUUAAGCCGCCCGUCUUGAAACACGGACCAAGGAGUCUAACGUCUAUGCAAGUGUUUGGGUGUAAAACCCGUACGCGUAAUGAAAGUGAACGUAGGUGAGAGCUCUUACGAGUGCAUCAUCGACCGAUCCUGAUGUCUUCGGAUGGAUUUGAGUAAGAGCAUAGCUGUUGGGACCCGAAAGAUGGUGAACUAUGCCUGAAUAGGGUGAAGCCAGAGGAAACUCUGGUGGAGGCUCGUAGCGGUUCUGACGUGCAAAUCGAU
rnacentral:rRNA from 1 species